rnacentral:misc_RNA from 1 species
AAGUCGUAACAAGGUAUCUGUAGGUGAACCUGCAGAUGGAUCAUUUCGAUGAAAACCUUUUUUUCUUGAGGUGUGGCUCGCACCUGUCUAACUAAACUUGAGCUACCAUUUUUUCAACACGGUUGCAUCGGUUGGCCUGUCAAUUAGUGCGGCGGCGCGAAUUUACUUUGCACCUGCCAAGCUAGGCGACGGACCGACGCCUUACUUUAAACACUUUUGAUGAUCUAGGAUUUGAAGGAUAAAAGUUCAUUUUUACAAUGAAAUCGACUGGUAAUGCGGUCGUCUAAUUUUAAAAACAACUUUUGGCAACGGAUCUCUUGGUUCUCC